rnacentral:rRNA from 1 species
GUAGGGUGCAAGCGUUAAUCGGAAUUACUGGGCGUAAAGCGUGCGCAGGCGGUUUGUAAGCCUGUCGUGAAAGCCCCGGGCUUAACCUGGGAAUUGCGAUGGAGACUGCAAGGCUUGAAUCUGGCAGAGGGGGUAGAAUUCCACGUGUAGCAGUGAAAUGCGUAGAGAUGUGGAGGAACACCGAUGGCGAAGGCAGCCCCCUGGGUCAAGAUUGACGCUCAUGCACGAAAGCGUGGGGGGAGCAAACAGGAUUAGAUACCCUGGUAGUCCACGCCUAAACGAUGUCUACUAGUUGUCGGGUCUUAAUUGACUUGGUAACGCAGCUAACGCGUGAAGUAGACCGCCUGGGAUACGGUCGCAAGAUUA